GUGCGUGAAGUGUUGGUGGAAAAAUAUGACAAUUAUUGCUUGCUUAUAGCUCAAAGCUGCUUGUCGCACCAACAGAGCUUCACCUUCCAAGUGUCUGAUCACAAGUAUUUGCUAUCCAGAGCCGAAGAAAUUUUCAACUGCAGCAACAAGAUGGGACUCCAGCAUGAAGAGGUGGCAAGAGACAAAUAUCAGAAAUGAGUAAACACAAUUCAUGAAAAUGUUUCAGUAACAAACAGUGGAUUCUGGAUUCAUUUGACCCAUGGAUCUCUUGGUGCCUCUCAUGAUGGACUUGUCUCUUGCCAAUGUUGUGGCAAUGGGAUUUGUGAAAUAAAGGUUAUGGCUCAGUUGUCAUGCACAGGUUUGAGCUACUGUGAUUUUGUUGUGUGGACAGAGAAAGACUUGUUUGUUGAACGAAUCUUGCAAAAUAACGAAUUUCUAGAAAGGAAGAUAGAGGCAGCAAAGAAAUUUGUGUUGAGGAGACUCCUUCCGGAAUUAAAUGGAAAAUGGUACUGAAGACCGAAAAAUUGAAUAAAUGAAAUAUAAUGAAAUCAAAUGUUUUAUGAAUAUUAUUAGUACAAUUUUAAGUGUAUGCAUGCAAAAUCUUUUAAAAGAUAUUAUUUAGUCAUAAGGUAAGACAGAAUCACAAAUGUUAAUUAGUGCACAGCUAACAGUAACUAUUUUGUCAAUCGUAUUGGGCUCAUUUUCUUUAGAAUUGACAAAAUCAAUUGGCUGAGUUGAACUCAGAA